CCAGCUCCAAUAGCGUAUAUUAAAGUUGUUGCGGUUAAAAAGCUCGUAGUUGGAUUUCUGCAUAGGAUGACUGGUCCGCCCUCUGGGUGAGUAUCUGGGUCGGCCUGUGCAUCUUCGUGGAGAACGCAGCUGCACUUGAUUGUGUGGUGCGGUAUCUGCGACCUUUACUUUGAGGAAAUUAGAGUGUUUCAAGCAGGUAUUCGCCUGAAUACAUUAGCAUGGAAUAAUAAGAUGAGACCUUGGUUUUAUUUUGUUGGUUUCUAGAAUUGAGGUAAUGAUCAAUAGGGAUAGUUGGGGGCAUUCGUAUUUAAUUGUCAGAGGUGAAAUUCUUGGAUUUAUUAAAGACGGACCACUGCGAAAGCAUUUGCCAAGGAUGUUUUCAUUGAUCAAGAACGAAAGUUAGGGGAUCGAAGACGAUCAGAUACCGUCCUAGUCUUAACCAUAAACUAUGCCGACUAGAGAUUGGAGGUUGUUAUCAUGAUGACUCCUUCAGCACCUUUUGAGAAAUCAAAGUCUUUGGGUUCCGGGGGGAGUAUGGUCGCAAGGCUGAAACUUAAAGGAAUUGACGGAAGGGCACCACCAGGAGUGGAGCCUGCGGCUUAAUUCGACUCAAC
rnacentral:rRNA from 1 species